UGAUGAUGGCAAGGGCAAUUUUUGAGCAUACUUUUAAAUCUCCCCCAAGCUUGGUAGAGAUUCUCUUCUUUUUUUUGUCUGAAACUUAGAAUCUUGCUUCUUAAACG
rfam:Capsicum annuum cultivar Zunla-1 chromosome 3, whole genome shotgun sequence